CAUAAAACGCUGUACUGGCUGGCUGCUCCGCCUUCUGGCCAGUAAGUCAAUUUACAGUAUUACUAUCACAUCUACAUAAAACAUUAAAAGCCAAAUCUAGAAAACGAGUAAGUAAUAUUAUACACAGAGGAACAUUUGGAAUCAAGUUCGAAAGCAUUAAUGUAUUAUCAAAAACAACACAAUCUUCAAAUGAUCUUAAUUGUAUACCAUAUAUAGACAGAAUGUUUAGUACAAUACAGUACUUUAUAACUAAGAGCUUACGUAAAUAAUUAAAGAGUUCUUUUCUGGUGUUUGAAGCAGAACAAAUACAACUAUUUUGUUUCGUCUCUGAAAUUGUCUGCUAUUUAAUAUGCAUUAUGUUGACGAGUCUUUAAUAGCGACUUAAUAGCGCCAUAUAAAACCUCCGGAAAAAGAUUAAACACUACAAUAUACAUAUAAAUAAACACUUAAAACCUCCAUUAAAAGUAAACUUUCAUAAAACACAAAAGCAAUUUUCAAAUGACGUUAAACAUGUUUGUCUUUCUCUUGUAGAAGUGUCUCGUUUGAAUAUUCCUCCAUUAACUUCUCUUCAACAUUGUCUAGACGCCAUUCAUGCGCGACUAUUUCAAGAGCUUCCCACUCAGCCUAUAAGUACAGGUACAAGCAAACAAGUGGCAUAUUAAGACUCAUGCAAGUGGCUUUUUCAAUGUUUCUAAGAGUGUGCUAAACUAAAAGUGUCACGCGAGCAAGACAAAUCUCAAAUUCAAAUAUGCGGAGAAAAAGAAAACGUUUUCAUUGUGGAAAGAUCUAAUAUGCACUGCGCGCAUAUCGACAAAGUGGCUUUAUAAUGUAAUAAUUGCCUUUAUUUCGCGAAAAGUCAUUUUGCUUGUUUUGUAUUUUAGCACGCCUAUAUCAAUGAUUGAACGGCAUUUAUGUUUCCACUGCUACAAUCAAGCACGUAGUUGUUGACACGAGCAUCUUCAACUUUGGUAUUAUCUAUUGUCUAUACAGUUGUCUAUAAGAUAACGUUAUCUUCGAUUCGGGCUGCUAAUUGUUGAAGGUGACUAAAUGUAACUCGGGUUACUAUACUUUGAUUGAACCUGUUGUACCACAUUUUGUGAUAGAAGAAGAAAGUACCAAAUAUUGUAGUGGCGAUUUAGGUUAUUAUUCAGAUGCAAAGUUUCUGAUCUCGCUACUUUCUACGUGAGAAGUUACGAAAACGCUCAAUGACAUUAAAAUCUAAAAGUAUACAGUAAACUGUAUGUACUGUACGCUGUACAGAGGUGUAUAAAAAAAACUACACAGUUGGAAAAAGUUCAUUAAAGUCGGAUGCGCGCGACAUUUGCGAAAACUUUCAGUAAGCCUAUGUACUUUAACGUUCUCUGGUACAUCUAGCACUAAAAUUAUUUAAAAUGCUAGCGUUUUUAGAAGGCCUUGCACAAAACAAUUUUUCAUCAGAAACCAAAUUUAAUCACACAGAGUCAAAAUAUGGACUGUUUGGAAAGUUUAUGAAUAUGGUGCACGCGUAGGCCAACGCCAGAUCUUCAAAACCUGCAUUUUCUCCCAUUUUGUAACAGAAUGCGAUUGCGGUUUAAACGCGAUUUCUUUGCAUGAUUUCAAAUUAAUUUUAUGCAUGCUCGGACGUUGGCAUAAAUUACAGUACGAAAUUCGCAAGCUAAUUCCCAAAGGUCCUAAAAGAGUUAGUAACAGCGUUUAUUUACAAAAUUAUUGACAUGCAGUGUUUAUUUACAAACAAAAUCAAUCUUCAACCUGCUCUCCUUUGUUGAAGAUUGAUUUUGUUUGUAAAUAAACACUGCAUGUAAAUAGUUUUGUAAAAGGACCUUUGGGAAUUGGCUUGCGAAUUUCGCACUGUAAUUAUGCAAACGUCCGAGCAUGCAUAAAAUUAAUUUGAAAUCAUGGAAAGAAAUCGCGUUUGAACUAACAAAAUGGGAGAAAAUCCAGGUUUUGAAGAUCUCGCGUUGGCCUACGCGUGCACGAAAUUUCUUGAAACUUUGAUAGCUUGUGUAAGACAGUCCAUAUUUUGACUCUGUGUGAUUAAAUUUUGUUUCCGAUGAAACAUUUUUAGGCGCAAGGCCUUUUUUUUUUUUUUUUUUUUAGUAACAGCUUUCCUACUCUAAACACGCUAGCAUCUUAGUGCCUCUCUCCUCCGCAGAGGCUUUAGUUUUCUUAGGACAUUUCACUACACUUUACAUGGCGGAUCAGAGAACGUUAAAGUACAUAGGCUUACUGAACGUUUUCGCAAAUGUCGCGCGCAUCUGAUUUUAAUGAACUUUUUCUAACUGUGCAGUUUUUUUUAUACACCCUGUAUAUAAAUCAGCUUUAUUUAUACACGUUCACCUAAAAUGCCAGUUUCACAGGCGGCGAUUUGUUUGGCUCGGGUGAAGGGGGUGGGCGUAGUCUAAUUGGGCCCAGGGGCGUGUUCCCGGGAGAAAGUGUCUGAAAUAGGAUUUUCAGUGUUCUGGGGGAUUUGACCAGCAGAAACUAUGCCAUUUUGUUGUCCAUGAGGCAGCAAAAAAUCUGGCACUUUUGGGAGUAAUGGCAGCCAUAGCAUCCUAGCCCCCGGUUCGGCCACCUACGGCCAGUUUAACAUUAAUUACACAAUUUUUUCUCAAUGACAAUUUUAAGGUGUAUGUUAG
rnacentral:lncRNA from 1 species